rnacentral:rRNA from 1 species
GCCAAUGCAUGCUUUUACAGUAUGAAAAUUGGUGAUUUAUAAUAACUUAGCAAAUCGCAAAGUGAAAACAGGCGAUAAAUCAUUCAAGUUUCUGACCUAUCAGCUUUCGACGGUAUGGUAUUGGCUUACCGUGGCAGUGACGGUUAACGGGGGAUUAGGGUUCGAUUCCGGAGAGGGAGCCUGAGAAACGGCUACCACAUCUAAGGAAGGCAGCAGGCGCGCAAAUUACCCAAUUCUAACAGUUUGAGAGAGGUAGUAACAAGAAAUAACAAUACAAGGCAGUUAAAAUGCUUUGUAAUUGGAAUGAUAGAAAUUUAAACCCUUUUUAAAGUAUCAAUUGGAGGGCAAGUCUGGUGCCAGCAGCCGCGGUAAUUCCAGCUCCAAUAGCGUAUAUUAAAAUUGUUGCAGUUAAAAAGCUCGUAGUUGAAGUUCUGCUAAAAGUAACCGGUCUGCUUUGAAUAAAAGUGGUAUCUUGGUAUGUAUUUAGCAAUGAUGUCCUUUGAAGUGUUUUUUACUUUAUUGUAAUAAAGCAUAUUCAGGACUUUUACUUUGAGAAAAUUAGAGUGUUUCUAGCAGGCCAACGCUUUGAAUACUGCAGCAUGGAAUAAUAAGGAA